rnacentral:rRNA from 1 species
UAAAGUGGCGUACGGGUGAGUAACACGUGGAUGAUCUACCUUUUAGUGGGGAAUACCGUUGGGAAACCGACGACAAUACCGCAUAAGCCUGAGAAGGGAAAGCAGCAAUGCGCUGAAAGAGGAGUCCGCGGUCGAUUAGGUAGUUGGCAGGGUAAAAGCCUACCAAGCCUGUGAUCGAUAGCCGGCCUGAGAGGGCACACGGCCACACUGGCACUGAAACACGGGCCAG